UAACUUACUUAGACGGGGUUUAUUAGUGAUCAUGAAGGCCAAUGGGCCUUCCCAUUGCACUUCGGCUUGGCCUUCCUAAAGUGGAAGAGUGGACGUCGUAAUUUGAGGGCUCACGUACGCGCGGCCCUCUC
rnacentral:snRNA from 1 species